GGGCUCAUCGUUCAUCGGUUAGGACCUCGGACUGUCGAUCCGAAGAGGGGAGUUCGAUUCUCCCUGAGCCCGCCA
rnacentral:tRNA from 2 species